rnacentral:misc_RNA from 1 species
GGUCUCCAUUGCUCGCUCUGCACCGGCACGAUCGAGAAGGCGCUCGGCCGAAUGCCUGGUGUCGACAAGGUAGCCGUGAGUCUCACACACGAGCAGGCGCUGGUCGAGUCGGUCGCGCGCCCUGAGCAAUUGCUGCAGACCUUGCGCGAUAUCGGCUAUACCAUCUCCGAUCCUCGCAAGCUCCGGGCCUUCGAAGAGGAAGAGCUUGAUCUUGUCCGCGAGGCGCGACGCUUCGUCGUCGCUGUGGUCCUCAGCGUUGCCUCCAUCCCUAUCAUCGCGGAUCCGANNNNNNNNNCUUUCUGCCGGCUCUGGUUUGCUUGAGCCUCGGCGGAUUUGUGUUCUUGGUCCUGCGGUCAAGCGGGCUAUGGACCGCCAUCGGUGCCGCUGGCGGGCUCANNNNNNNNNGAGCCUGCUCUAUCUCAACCUGCAAGGAUAUCUGACUAAUGUCGCGCCAUGGCUCGCCGGC